AGGGUGAGGUCCCUGGUUCGAGUCCAGGAUGGCCCACCUGGGGGUUUAGCUCAGUUGGUAGAGCGCCUGCUUU
rnacentral:tRNA from 1 species